UACGUAGGGUGCAAGCGUUAAUCGGAAUUACUGGGCGUAAAGCGUGCGCAGGCGGUUAUGCAAGACAGGUGUGAAAUCCCCGAGCUCAACUUGGGAACUGCACUUGUGACUGCAUAGCUAGAGUACGGUAGAGGGGAGUGGAAUUCCGCGUGUAGCAGUGAAAUGCGUAGAUAUGCGGAGGAACACCGAUGGCGAAGGCAGCUCCCUGGCACAACACUGACGCUCAGGUGCGAAAGCGUGGGGAGCAAACAGG
rnacentral:rRNA from 1 species